rnacentral:tRNA from 1 species
GGAGAGGUGGCCGAGCGGCCGAAGGCAGCGGUUUGCUAAACCGCCGUAGGGGCUAAAACCUCUACCGAGGGUUCAAAUCCCUCCCUCUCCGCCA